GUUCGGUCCAGUCAGCCCCCUGCUCCCAUGGAAACUCCGCCUCACAACCCCAUCUCGCCCCCCUCCCCGCCCCCGGUCGCCGAUGGCUCCCCGGCGGCCGACGCUGGGGCGGAUGGAGAGGAGCCGGCGGGGGAGUUCAGCGCGGGGCUGGAACCCCUGUGGUCGCUCCUCUUCGGCACCCCGGAGGAGCUGGAGCCCAUGUGGUCGCCGCCCAGGGGAUUCGACGUCGGCGCCGAGUUCGCCGCCGCGGCAGCGGGCCCGGAUCCCCUGGUGGACGACGGAGGAGGGCCCUGGGACGGUGCCGAGUGGAGGUCAACGGGGCUCGUCGCCGGCGAGGGCGUGUCGGCGACGACCCGGGCGCCAUCCCCGCCCACCGCGGCGCCGGGCUUCGCGGAGUUCGAGCCCCCAGCGUCAGAUUCAUCGGAAGGCGCUCCAGGGGUGAGCCCGCUUGAUCACCUUGAUGAUUAUUCACGUAUGCCGGAAUCUCCGUCUACUCCUGUUGCUGUAGACAUGCGGGAAAAGCUCGUGUUCGUCUCUGACUCCACGCCGGUGCCGGGGUCUCCUCAGUCACCAUGGGGGUCUUGCUUGGAAGCCAAUCUAGAGGAGAAUGCACCGACGUGCACGCUGAACACCAUGUCGUCGCCUCCACAACUUCCGCCGGAUGAUGACGAUUUGGUGGAGGCAGAGGAUGCUCCCAAGUAUUUCUCUCCUUCAGAGAAUAUUGCCUCAGCAAGCAUGGCUGCUGUUGAUUUGAACGCGGAGUAUGACCCCAAGGGGAAUGCCGAUGGUUGCGGUACCUCAGGUGCUACCAGUACAAAUGACACGUCCCUUUGGGGAUCACGGAGGACUGCGAAGACCAUGGCGGCAGCAAAUGCCACACCUUCAGAACCAAAAGCACGCUCAUCUAGAUCCUCCAAGCGGCGCCCUGUGGACUCAGAUCUGGGAAGAAGCAGUGAAAGGCACAACCUUUCUGUAUCCACCACUAAGCCGAUCAAAGAGACCACCACUACUGCACCAGACAUAGUUGAUAAGCUGAUCAAAGAGAUUACCAGUACUGCACCAAACACAGUUGACGAGCCCAUCAAAGAGGCCACCACUACUGCACCAGCCACAGUUGAUAAGCCGAUCAAAGGGACUACCACCACUUCAGCAGACACAGUUGAUAAGCUGAUCAAAGAGACCACCACUACUGCACCAGACACAGUUGACUUGCGCAACAGGGUGGAACAACAUAGGUCAGCAGAAAAUGUUAAGAUGCAAAGCACCUCCAGUGGCCAUGAGAACAAAGGAGGUGGUUUCAGUAAUCAGAUUGUAGUGGCUUUACCAGCCGUGAAUUAUAGGUCCGCCAAGCGCGGCGGAGUCUCUGUUCGUGCCCCAAGGAAGACUAAGACGGCUGUAAAGGCAUCAUCAUUGGAUUCAGACAGUGUACCACCUAUCUCGCCAGUGGUAAACAGUGAACCUUCAAUGCAUAAAGCAGAGUCUAAUCAUCAUGUACGACCUAGCAAGUAUGAUCUUGACCCUGAGAACUGCUUGCCAUCGGACAAAGUGGACAGUAGUGGUAUUGUACCGUGCAAUGCGGGGUUGAUGAGUGCGGAGUCGCACGUGGUCAGUGAGAUGCCCCAACAACAUGAUGGAAAAUCUUCUAAGCCUCCAAGGGCAAAGAGGGCGAGGGUAUCGACAGGUAAAUGCUCGUCAAAUUUGAAGAGGACAAAGAAAAAUGGUGGCUCAAUUUGCCAAUCGCCAACUGUCACAAUGAUGCCAGAUCCGAACAACAGUUCCAAAGUCAUCAUGGAUAAGAAAUUGGUUGAUUCGGAAAUGGUGGAUAGUGUUAAUGGAUCCUGUUGUUUUGUGGGGGAGGCAGUGCCGGAGGAGGAGGCUAGACAGAGGUGGCCUCACCGCUACGAGAAGAAUCAUCACUUUGUGGAGAAGGAUAAGAGGAGCGAUAUCCAACCAGUUGCCAAUGCUGGCAAUGCUGUCUUGGAUGUCAAAUGUCACUAUUUGCAAGCCAGCAUAUCCGGAUCUACUUUAUGCAUUGGAGAUUGUGCAUUUGUGAAAGGUCCAGAGGGAAAGCCAGAUUACAUAGGCAAGAUACUGGAGUUCUUUGAAACAGUUGCCGGUGAAUAUUACUGCAGAGUGCAGUGGUUUUUCAGAGCUGAAGACACGAUCAUGGAAGACCAAGCACAGUCUCAUGACCCAAGGAGGCUCUUUUACUCAGAUCUGAAGGAUGACAAUGCUCUAGACUGCAUUGUCUCCAAAGUGUCAAUUGUGCAAGUUUCUCCUUGUGUUGAUAACCAGUCAAAGUCAAUUCCUUCACCCCAGUAUUACUAUGACAUGAAGUACUCUCAGGACUACAGCACAUUCUCUACUUUGGAAAUGGAAGAUACACAUGCUAGAUUGCAAUCAAGUCAAGUAAGUAGUAUCAGUAUGAAAAAGGCAGACUUCAAUAAGACGCAAAAGUCUCAUGUGCCGAAUAAGAAGGAUCUCUCUUUGUUAGAUCUGUACUGUGGUUGUGGCGGAAUGUCAACUGGACUUUGUCUUGGAGCUCAUGGUGGCGGUGUGAAUCUUGUGACGAGAUGGGCUGUUGAUGAUGAUGAAGUUGCAUGUGAAAGCUUCAGAAUGAAUCAUCCAGAAACUCGGGUCCGCAACGAAACUACCGAUGAUUUCCUUGAAUUGCUGAAAGAAUGGCAAAAAUUAUGCAAACAAUAUGUGAAGGAAAGUGAAGUAAAUGACCAUGCUGAUGCUAUAACAGAAUUCAGUAAUGGGGGUCCAGAUGAUUCUGCAGUCCCUCCUGAAGAGCUUGAAGUAUGGAAGUUAGUUGAUAUUUGUUUCGGUGAUCCCAGUAAUGUCAGAAAGCGCUGCUUAUAUUUUAAGGUCCGUUGGAAGGGUUAUGGCCCUAAUGAUGACACGUGGGAGCCAAUUGAAGGAUUAGGGAACUGCAAUGAUGCAAUUAAGGAUUUUGUUAUUGAAGGUCAUAAGCGAAAGAUACUACCACUUCCUGGUGCUGUUGAUGUCGUAUGUGGUGGUCCACCAUGCCAAGGCAUUAGUGGCUACAACCGCAAUAGAGAAUUUGAUGAACCAUUUAAAUGUGAAAAAAACAAGCAGAUUAUUGUCUUUAUGGAUAUCAUGCAAUUUUUGAGGCCCAAAUACGUCUACAUGGAAAACGUCCUUGAUAUAUUGAAAUUUGCUGAUGCAACACUUGCAAAAUAUGCUCUAAGUCGCCUAAUUGGUAUGCAUUACCAAGCCAAACUAGGGAUCAUGGCUGCUGGAUGUUACGGCCUUCCACAAUUUAGGAUGCGUGUAUUUUUAUUGGGCUGUCAUCCUGAAGAGAAAUUGCCCCCAUUUCCUCUGCCUACACAUGGAGCGAUUGUGAAGAAUAAUUGCCCAUUGGCUUUUGAGCGUAAUUUGGUUGGGUGGUCUGACAGCACAUCAGUACAACUAGAGAAGCCAAUUGUCCUUGAAGACAUUCUUUCAGAUCUUCCAAAAGUGGGAAAUGCAGAAGAUCGUGAUGAAAUGCCAUAUGUAAAGGGCCCUCAAACGGAAUUCCAAAGAUACAUUCGGACAUUUAGUUCUGAAGUGCAGGGUCCCAAAUCUCAUGCCGCAAAAGCUAAGUCAAAAAAAUCUAAGCCAAAAUUGUAUGACCAUCGGCCGUUGGCACUGGGUCAUGAUAACUACUUAAGGGUUUUGCAAAUUCCCAAGAAAAAGGGAGCUAAUUUUAGAGACCUUCCGGGAGUCAUAGUUGGUCCUGACAAUGUGGCUAAACUGGAUCCAACAAAGGAAAGAGUACUUUUACCAUCUGGUCGUCCUCUGGUGCUUGAUUGUGUACUGACAUACGAGGAUGGUAGAUGCUUAAGACCUUUUGGUCGACUAUGGUGGGAUGAGGUAGUCGGAACUGUGCUGACGUGUCCAAAUAUUUGUAUGCAGGCCUUGAUACAUCCUGCGCAGGACAGACUGCUCACUGUUCGUGAAAGUGCUCGAUUGCAAGGUUUUCCUGAUAGCUACAGGUUUCGUGGAACAGUCAAAGACAGGUAUCGCCAGAUUGGAAAUGCUGUGGCCGUACCCGUUGGCCGUGCACUUGGGUAUGCCUUGGCCAUGGCCAACCUGAACAAGACUGGAAAUGAUCCCCUCAUGGAGCUACCACCCAAGUUUGCAUUCUCUCAUAUAGAAGGCACUCCUUAGUCAGACUGGCAAAACCUAACGGUUGACUUUUCCACCUGGGUUUAAGUCUCGUCAUCUCCGUUCAUUCUCCGCUAGAAAAGCUGGGUACCUCAUGGUCGUGAAUAUCAUUAGGACUCGUGAAUAUCGUUAGGGCAUGCGCAUUUUAACAUAAGUCUUGAUUCAUUUUAUUGCCAUGUUGUACCUUGUAACAUCUUAGUUUCUUAGAAGUUCCUGUAGGCAGGUGUAAGUUGCUCAGUAUGGUUUGUCCUGAGAGAACCUUGUGUUGUACUGUAAAAGAAUGUAGGUAUCAUAACUUUGUCACAUACAUUUGUUAGAAGCUCACAUGGGCAGGUGUAGGUGGCUGCAGUGGAUCUCCUCUGCCUUUGUUGUACUAUAAAGACUAUGUAUGUAUGUAUGUAUGUAUAGACAAGCUGAGUGGUCAGGGGAAUAAAAUGUACACCUUCUGACGUGUUGGUGGUGUUCUAUAUAUACUUGUAUGUAUUUUCCUGUGAGUGAAUGUAAGAAACGCCUAAGAGCAUCUUCAACAAGUGAUGUAAAACUGGUUUCCUG
rnacentral:rRNA from 1 species